CUUCCUAACGAAGGCAGCUCCGCAUUGGGUCGCACGCGUCUUCCUCUCCCCCACACGUCUCCGGCCACAGCCGCCUCCUCCUCUCCCCGCUUGUCUUUCCCUCUAGCUCAAGAAGCUCCACGGGACACCACUCUUCCUCUUCUCCGUAUUGAUGCUGAGCAAGAAGAUGGGGCGGAUUUGGGCGACGGCUCCAGUGCCACCUCCCUGCAACGAGGGAUCUCACCGGCGUGGGGGCGGGAGUGGAUGCCAGUGAGGGUGGCGGAUCGGCGUUGCUCGCUCCCCACCGGCCUUCUUCGUCUCCCGACAACAUAUGGCUCCAACCCUUCCUCUGCUGUGUGGUGUCGUGGGAGCAAGAAACAAGAGCAGGCAUGGUUUUUAUCUACAUCCAGUGUUCACACUGCCAGAUCGACGGAUCUAACUCUGGUCGGCAAGGAGGGGCACCGCCGCGGCGGCGAGGAAGCGGCCGGGGGCAAGGCCGAGGGCGGCAAAGCCAACCUGAGUAAGGUGCUGCCGGCUACCUUAUAGAAAAUCACAGGAAAACUUCACUACUGACCCUUUGGUUCUAGGCUUCUAGCAGCGUCAGGUGUUGAUUAUCAACACUUGUUAGAUGUUGUCUGAUUGGCACAAGGGGUCCCCUAUGGAAACACCAAAGUCUACCCAUACUGGUGAUGAUUUCACACACAAGGCAGAAUCAGAUAUGACACAUGUUGCACUGGCUUUUGAAGUGCCAGGAAGCUGGCUUGAAUCAUGACUGUCAUGCAGGUACAUCUAAGGGUUGGGUAUUCGAUAGUAAUUAAUGAUAAGUUAGUAUACAAAAUAAAAGAAAAUAAAUUACUUACUGCAGAGCCAUUCAGUUAUAUAUGCCAACUCUGAAGGAUAAUUCCUAAAAAAUUUAGGCGUUCUUUGUUUCCUCACAAUUUUUUUCAGAAAUGUCGCAUGGUUAUUUGCUAUUGAACUUCCUCUCUGACUGUUGGAUUAUCAGCCCUUUUUUGAUGGAUAGGUGCUACUGACCAGCUACCAUGGAUGGAAGAAACCUCAUCAAAAACUAAUACAUAUGUUACUGAUUCCGAGCCUUCAAAGUUUUCUUUUGCAGUAGCAUUUAUUUUGCACGGUUCAUCUUCCAUGCAAAGAGAAGUCCUAGAACUUUUAGGUGCUGGUAUGGCAGUUGCAGCCGUUUGGGAAUUGCUCCUAGCUGUAAAUUUUCUAUUAUGAUUAACCUGAGAGCAAUCCUGACUAACAUCAGCAUCCUCAGUGUUACCAUAGUCCUUGCAAUGAACAGAGAGAUAUUCAUGGAUGGAGCUGGUAAGGCCACUCAUUUCCAUGGCAGCUAGGAACAAGAAACAGAAGUAUGAGAAAGUCAGUGAAAGGAAAAUUGUUGUUCUUUUCUAUAUCCUGCAUUCGCCACCAUUGGAACAAUGUGUUAUUAAUUGUAUUCUCUUAGCUAUAGGCUCUCUGUCGUGGAUAUCCUACUGAAUUUGCAUCUUAUUUCCAUUACUGCCGCUCACUACGCUUUGGACUACCAGUAUCUCAAGAAAUUGUCUACAGACUUUUUUAUUGGACAUGGCGAGUUUUCCUUUUGCAUGUCGUGAACUUAUAAUCGUCCAUUUAAUUUAGUGGUUAAUGAUUAAUCAAUAUUUAGACACCUAAAUGCUGCAAAGUUGCUCUCCAUUUGAACUCUUGACAGACAAAUAUUUUUUGCUUCCAGGGUUUCAAUUUGAUUAUAUUUUUAUUGGACAAUUCUGAAGUAUAAACACUCAGAUGACCAGUGCUCCACUGCGCACCAUGGCCCUGGCAGCAGGACGAGGCUCUAGGAUGGUUCCCAUGGAAAACAGACAGUCAGAUUCACAGUGAAGAUGUGUUGCAUGCCCACAACUGAAUACUCACAGUGAAGAUGUGUCACUCAUUGAGAAGCCGAACGGUACCACCAAAAUAUAAAGUGAAGAGACCCACUUAUCCAGAACAAGGUAGAUCAUCAUGCUGUCAUACCAUACAUCAAAUGGUAUGCCGCAAAUACAAUCGCCAAUCUUAGAAAACUCAACGAACGUCCAAUGCAUCCUUUGGAAUGGGACUUGAGCAGGCAUGGUUUCCCUCUACAUCCAGCGUCCACAUGGGCAAAUCGACAGAUCUCACUAUGGUGGUGUAGCAUAAAGCUCCCCAAGCAAUUCAAUUGGAUAUUUCUAGGGAUCAAUUCCGGGAAAUCACAUAGGUACCCUCAGUUUAUCUCAUUUUGCGGUUAUUUGAAUGACUAUGUAUUGUUGUAUUGUUGUGCUCCGCGGGUUUGGCGUUGGCCGCCAACAACGACGAGGCUGGCGGCUCGGGCGCGGGCGUCGUCAACCUUGAUCGGUGUCCUGUUUUUUCUUUGGUUUUUAGUUUUUGUUAUGAUCAGUGUCCUGUUUUUUCUUUUAUAAAUUGCAAUGAACGACCGAAGCUCGACGAAGAUGUCCUAAUCUCAUUGUAUUUGAGUGUCAUUUAUUUAACUCUUCCAAAAUU